ACAAACUGAAAAUUACUUUUGGCCUCUUCAGUAGCCUUUAGUAAGAUCUCUGUGCCUACAUGAACAGGAGCAUUAAGCUCAUUACCCAUCAACUGUAUGUAUGUAAUGAGACCCGUGUUCCGACAUGU